rnacentral:piRNA from 2 species
UGAAAGAAGGGUUUUCUGUGCUGUGAAAU